rnacentral:pre_miRNA from 1 species
AGUGUAAUUUCUGGUUAAUAUUUUUAACUUUAUCAGAUAUUGCCAUACUGUUUUCUAAAGUAACCAGAACUUUUUCAUUUCCACAAGCAAU